GUUCACCUUGAGUGUGUUAUAGUUUGACUACACCAUAACUCGAUCCCUAACCAUUCAGAACCCUGAGAUGUAUGUUGGCUGUAGCAUAUCCAUUGUAGGAACCAGAUCGCACCAAGAUGGGAUCUAUCAACCUCGAUAGAUGAGAGGAGUAGUCCUAUGAUGAUCGAAAAAUUGAGUCCUUAAGCCCAUGGCCAUGGUAGAGUAAAAUAAUAGAAAAGAAUUUUUCAUUGGGUUUCACAUCGAACUCGGAUCGAUCGAUUGAUUCAUAUGACUGAUGUUGGGUUUGACGAGUUCACCUUAACCCUAAUUCAGUCAGGACUCAUGAUAGAGGAAC
rnacentral:lncRNA from 1 species